UCCAAGGAAAAUCUUUAGUUCCUCUUUGAGCUGAAAUAAAACAGUGCAAUUAGUCAAACUGAUCUUGGGAGUUGCUUGCAGGCUGAUACGAACAUCUGGUAAAUCAAAACUGUUAAAACUCAGUGAUCUUUCACUUGUUAAACACCAUGUGUCGCUUACUCUGAAGGAAAAAAAAAAAGGAAAAAGGCUCAUAGAAAAUUAAAUUGCUCCAGGAAAAAAAAAAAAAUCCAACUCCCCCAAGGAACAGGAAGUGAGAUACUUUAUUGCUAUACAUUGAUCUGUCAAUGCCACUCACGGAAAGUCUGAGCAAUCAAGCUGCAGCAAACUUAUGAUGGUUACAGAUAUCUAACCAAUGUUGAAAUUAGUGGAGUUGAAAAGGAGGGACGGCUGCAACACCUCUUUCUGCUGUCAGCAUGUGAGAGGAGGCCAGGCUGGGAAACAAGGCUGAAAUUGACCAUGUGCCAAGAAGGAGAGUUGAGCAAGGAAAACCCACAGUAACAUUCAACCUUAAACCGGAAAGGGGAAAAAGGCAAGGGCGGGGGAGAAGAGGAAGGCUGGAGUGCAGCCCUGAAGCCCGCAGCAGCUGGUCUCGGAGGAGCCGGACCUGGUGAUCGAAGUUUCCGGCCGGCAGAUCCGAGCCCACAAGUCGGUGCUGGCGGCCAAGUCCCCGGACAUCCUGCGGGUGAAGGGGGUGAGCUACUGGGGACUGCGCCUGCUCAUGACAUGGCCGGCAUGGGCGACGUGCGCCACGACAACCUGGCCGAGGUGGUGAGCGGCGCCCCCGUGCUGCAGAUGCCCUGUGCUCUGCACUGCACGGCUGAGGCCAUGCGGGCCCAGCUGCCUCCACAACUGCUACCAUCUGCUGUGCCGCCCCUGGGAAUGUGCCGCCCCAAGCAGGUGCUUGUUUUGCUGGUGCCUAGAGCCAGUCCUGGGUGGCGCACUCAGGGGAGCAGGCGGAGGCAGAGCGGAGGCGAGCUGGGGCAGCGGGGGCACUUUUUGUCCAUGCCACGGAGUCGGUGCCUAUGAUGGCCGGCGCCAGAAUGCCACCCCUAGAAAUGUGCUGCCCCAAGCACCUGCUUGUUUAGCUGAUGCCUAGAGCCGGCCCUGCACCCAGGACAGCCCUGGAGUAAGUUGGGUGCCACUCCUACAAACUUCCGUGGCGAAUGCAUCCACUUCAGCCUUAGGCCUGGUCGGCACUAGACAUGGUUGGCCACAGAGGGAAAAUGCAGCAUAUAUCGCAAAGUGGUGCUUUCGCCAGCAUAGCUUAUACCAGUUCCCUGAACAAAAUAAACUAUCCCAGCUGUGACGAAGUGGGGUUUUAUUCAUCUUG